GACGAACCGAGCGAACGUUGUUCGGUAUCACUGGGCUUAAAGGGUGCGUAGGCGGCUUUGCAAGUUGGGUGUGAAAGCCCUCGGCUCAACCGAGGAAUUGCGCUCAAUACUGCCGAGCUCGAGAGAGACAGAGGUAAGCGGAACUAAUGGUGGAGCGGUGAAAUGCGUUGAUAUCAUUAGGAACACCGGUGGCGAAGGCGGCUUACUGGGUCUUUUCUGACGCUGAGGCACGAAAGCCAGGGGAGCGAACGGG
rnacentral:rRNA from 1 species